CAUAUUCUGGACAUGUUCAAAAGCCUGACAUACCUGGAAUGAUGGCCAGUGCUGGUGUUAUCUGGAGAAGAAGGAAUAGAAGCACCCCAGAUUUAGCAUGGAUGGCAGGAGGAGAAACAAGGGAGAGGGUAAAUGUAACAGGAAAUUGAGGCACAGUGGAAAGACGCCUAGGGAUAGAAAGGCUGGCCAUUGCACCCAGUGGAGAAGGAAGGCAGGGACUGACAAGGCUGCCAAGAGAUUCUCUGAAGUGGAAGAGCUGGAGGAGAUAGGUGGGUUUGCAUGAAGAAGAUAUCUGGAACAACAACAGAACCAGAAAUGGGGAAAGGGCAGAAAGAGGGAGGAAAGGGGGCAGAAUCCCACUCAUUGGAGGAGGGGUGACUCCCAAACAAUGAAAGUUCUAUCUGGCAUGAAAGACACUGAGGCUGCAGAAGAUCAGGCAAUAGUUGAGUUACAGGCCAAAAGAAUGGGAAUGUUAAGAAGCAGGGAGUGAAAGAGAAGUGGGAGGUUGAGGAAGAGAAAUUUAUCUUAGUAAAGGGAAGUACCCCAGAAAGAAAAAGGGAAAGAGAAGGCUCUCCUAGAGAGGACAUCUAGAAAUGGGCAACCAUAGCUUGCAAAUGGACAACAGUGACUGAGAGCUGCAGGGCCAUAUGGCUCAGAGGAGCCAGGUAUCUCUGUACUAGACUAGUAGCAAGGGGCAAGAGAAGAGAACUAUCCUGUAUCCAUUGAACCCAAGGAAGAGGAAGAGGAAGAGGAAGAGAGCAAGAGUCCAGAGGAGGAGGAGACGGAGGAAGAGAAAGGGGUGGACAUGAACAGCCAAAGAUAAAUUGUAAUGCGGGAUCUUAUCACCUUGUCCAAGAUCUUCAGCAACGAAUGUAGAAAUGCUCAUGAUGGAUUCCCAUCAGUGGCUAGGUAGGAGGCACCAUUUGACAGCAUGUGAAAUAAACAAGAACACUGGAGAAGAAUCAGUGAGCAAUGUUUCCCCCCAAAAAGGCUUAGUUUAACUGAAAUGUAAACUGAUAACCAUGCCAAACCUGAUAAAAAGCAGGAUGGUGAAGAAGUGACUAGUUUCUGUAGAACUAGACUAUGCUGUGUUAGAACCAGAAAAUCCACAGAAGGCUACUGAAAGCACAUGCAAAACAAGAUUUCUUUUUGACUUUUUGACUACAUUUUACAGGGCUUGUGUGCUGAUCAACCUGUAUUCUAAAUAGAGUGGGUACGACAAUAA